GUAUAUUCUGGACUAGAUCCUAGAUCAGAAAAAAGACAUUAAUGAAAAAAAUAGUGAAAACUGAAUACAAUUUAGGUUUAGUUCACACUAAUUUACCACCGUUGGUUUCUUAAUUCUGACAAACUAACCACUGUAAUAUAAAUAGUAACAACAGGGGCCAAUGAAACUGAGUGAGGGAUAGGCUAUCACUGUUGUCUUUGCAACUUUUCCAUAAAUCUAAAAUUAUUCCAAAAUAAAGAUUUUAUUUAAAAACAAGAUCUCCUUCACUGAGUUGUUAUGAGGAUUGAGUGAAAGGAUCCAUAUAAGGCAGCUGGUAUAGUGCCUGACGCAUAACAGGGCCUCAAAUGUUUCUCUCUAAACUAGAGAUUCUCAAAUUUAGGGUGUGUAAAAAUCACCUAGAGGUGUUUUGUCAGAAAUGCAAACAAACCCCAGGGCAUCAGUCUCAGAGAUUCUGAUUUAGUAGGUCUAGAAUAGGGCUCAGGAAAAAGAAUUUGUUAAUGGGUGCCCUCUAGAGAUCUUGAUGUGGGGCUUGCUGCUCUAGACUAUAGGGAUCCUGGGGUGAGAGCUGUACAUUCCCCUGAGGAGGAAAAUAAUGGAGAUAUAACGCCUGCCUACUUGCCUCAAAUGGGUGGAAGGGAGAAAAGGGGAAAAUAUAGAAGCAAGCACUUCAAAAACUGUAAGUUACAAUUUAAAUCGUUACAGAUUAAUUUGGGAUGAAACAGAGGUCUGAUUAGCUAGCCAUUUAAUAAUAACAGUGUGGUUGAAAUCUAACUUUUAUUCAUUUCAGCCACCUAAAAAUAUUCAGCUGCUUUUCCUGCUGAAGCACUCAGAUGACCCACAGGACAAAGGCACAGUUCAACCCCUUCAAUUACGGAUGAGCUAAAUGAAGCUGAGGGAUGAGAUGUGACUGGUUCAAGGUCACAGAACCAGUGACUGAGAGAACGGAUUAGAACCCACUCUUUUUUUCAGCUUCAUUGAGAUUAUUUCCGUAUCUUGGUUAUCUUGAAUAAUGCUGCAAUGAACAUGGGAGUGCAGCUAUCUCUUCGAGAUGGUGAUUUCAUUUCCUUUGGAUAAAUACCCAGAAGUGGGAUUGCUGAAUCAGACGGUAGUUCUCUUUUUAGGUUUUUGAGGAAUUUCCAUACUGUUUUUCAUAAUGGCUGUACCAGUUUACAUUUUCAC
rnacentral:lncRNA from 1 species